rfam:Citrus clementina cultivar Clemenules unplaced genomic scaffold scaffold_8, whole genome shotgun sequence.
AGAUGAAGGUAGCAUGGUUAUGUGCACAGAAAUUGAUUUGGGUCUGCAUGUCUGCCCCUAAUGAUCUCUGAUUUGGGGGCCUGGUUAUGACCUACAUUU